GAAAUGCGAUAAGUGAUGUGAAUUGCAGAAUUCAGUGAAUCAUCGAAUCUUUGAACGCACCUUGCGCUCCUUGGUAUUCCUUGGAGCAUGCCUGUUUGAGUAUCAUGAAAUCUUCAAAGUAAAUCUUUUGUUAACUCAAUUGGCUUCUACUUUGGUAUUGGAGGUCUUUGCAGCUUCACACCUGCUCCUCUUUGUUCAUUAGCUGGAUCUCAGUGUUAUGCUUGGUUCCACUCGGCGUGAUAAGUUAUCUAUCGCUGAGGACACUGUAAAAGGUGGCCAAGGUAAAUGCAGAUGAACCGCUUCUAAUAGUCCAUUGACUUGGACAAUACUUUUAUGAUCUGAUCUCAAAUCAGGUAGGACUACCCGCUGAACUUAAGC
rnacentral:misc_RNA from 1 species